GGAGGGGCCCCGGGGGCUCGUCGGUGACCGGAGCUCGCUCCGUCUGCCCCGGGGGCGGCUGUCCCUCCUGCCCCACGCCGUGAGGGCGAGCCUGGUCGGCGGGCACACAGGCUAACGUACCCCUCGGCCGGCCCCGGGGCGCGGUCGGCGAGCGGCCCGGGAGGAGGAAGGGGUUCAGCCGGGCAGCCGCCGCCCUACCGCAGCCCCGGGGGAUGCCGGUGAGGCUUCGGCGUUCCCAGCCCCUGUCCCUACAGAAGCGCCCACCCCCCCCCGCAGCGAGCUCGCCGGCUCGCAGCCCGGCAGGCCCGGGAACAGCGGGGUCUUCUGAGGGGAAUGGGGAGGGGGGGGGCUCGGCAGCGCCGCGGUGCGCCCGCGCUUCGCGGCCGUGUAGACGUGACGCGCCGCCACGCUCCCGGCCAGAUGUGCCCCGCGAAGGGCUCCCGCUCCCGACUCCCGGCUCCCGCCCGCCUUCCUGCGCUGCCCGCCGCUGCCGAGGGCCGGUUCGGCGGCUGCCCCUUCCCCUCCCACCCCCUUCCCAGCGCUGCUCGGCGGCUGAGGGAAGCCCUGUUUCCGCCCGAGCGAGCGCGGCGGGCAGGGGAUCAGCCGGCGGCCGUCCCCUUUGAGCUGAGGAGCGGCGUGCCGCACGCUCCCCGCAUGCAGGGCCACACGUAGGCGGCCGGCCGGGGCGAGCCGGGCGGGCGGGCGGGGAGGGGGCCGCGGCUGCCGAGCCGCACGUAGGGUGGGUGGGCGCGGCCUCGCCGGCGGCGCGGAGCCGGGCGGCGGGGGCUUCCCCUGCCCCGCUCUCCCCCGCGCACGUAGGGGCGAGCGGCUCGUAGCGAGGCAGCCGGGGAGAGGAGCGCCGGCGUCGGAGAGCCCCCGCGGCCCGGGGGAGAACCUUUCAGAGUCGAUUACUAGCUAGGCCAUUCUGGGCAAAGAAAAUGCAAACCGACCCUAUCAGGAGAGCUGCAAGCAGCUUGCUGUGCAUGGAGGAAGGAAAUAAAGCACCUAGGAUAAGGAGCAGUGGAAGAGCGAGUUUGCCGAGGUGUGCUAAGGAGCGAGGACCAAAUCAUGGCAGACGGUGGAAGCUUAGAACACAUUUCUUCACAUUUAAUUUCCCCGUGACAACAGAUGUUCCUGCUCUAGUCAUGGAUAUCUUGGUCUGAGAAGCUUGAGACUCCUGACAUACAGACAGGCCUAAAGUACCUUUUAUCUUGGUGGAAAACUAAGGGUGGAGGUGAAAAAACAUCUGGAUUCUCUUUGUCCUCUUUCUUGGACCACAGAUUUCACUGACAAAGCAGAGUCCCAGAAACAGCCUUAUAAACUCCACGCAUUAUAGUUCAAGGAUAGGGAGGAACAAAGGUCUACAGUUGCUUUCACAAUGUGCAGAGGAGGAAGCAAGCACC